rnacentral:rRNA from 1 species
AUAUCAUUAAGCGGAGGAAAAGAAACUAACAAGGAUGCCCUCAGUAACGGCGAGUGAAGCGGGCAGAGCUCAAACUGAAAAUCGAUGCUCCAUGCGGGGUUUCGAAUUGUAGUCUAUAGACGCGCUAUCAGCGAUGAACCGGGUAUAAAUCUUUUGAAACAAGGUGUCAUAGAGGGUGAGAACCCCGUCUUUGACUCGGAGCUCAUUGCGUACGAUGCGUGUUCAAAGAGUCGGGUUGCUUGGGAUUGCAGCCCUAAGUGGGUGGUAAAUUUCAUCUAAAGCUAAAUAUUGACGAGAGACCGAUAGCGAACAAGUACCGUGAGGGAAAGAUGAAAAGAACUUUGAAAAGAGAGUUAAAAAGUACUUGAAAUUGUUAAGAGGGAAGCACUGGAAACCAGUAUUGCCGGUUGCUGUACUCGCCUAUCCGCGGGUUGGAGGCGGCGUGCCGGGAGUUCAAACCUCGGUUGCGUCGUCAAAGAUUCGUGGGUGGGUUCAGCAGUGAUUGGUGGGUCAAAAUCAUUUCGGUUCGCGGGAGAAAGCUAUCUGGAAGAUAGGGUCAAAGGGCAACCUGAGACCUGUUACAGCCGGGUAGUGCUACCGUGGGCUGGAUUGAGGAACAAAUGCGC